rfam:Aedes albopictus isolate Foshan contig73725, whole genome shotgun sequence.
UAGCCUAGUGGUUAAGGCCAUGGAUCGCCAAUCCGGAAAUGGCGGGUUCGAUUCCCGU